rnacentral:rRNA from 1 species
GAUGAACGCUGGCGGCGUGCCUAAUACAUGCAAGUCGAGCGAACGGACGAGAAGCUUGCUUCUCUGAUGUUAGCGGCGGACGGGUGAGUAACACGUGGAUAACCUACCUAUAAGACUGGGAUAACUUCGGGAAACCGUAGCUAAUACCGGAUAAUAUUUUGAACCGCAUGGUUCAAAAGUGAAAGACGGUCUUGCUGUCACUUAUAGAUGGAUCCGCGCUGCAUUAGCUAGUUGGUAAGGUAACGGCUUACCAAGGCAACGAUGCAUAGCCGACCUGAGAGGGUGAUCGGCCACACUGGAGCUGAGACACGGUCCAGGCUCCUACGGGAGGCAGCAGUAGGGAAUCUUCCGCAAAGGGCGAAAGCCUGACGGAGCAACGCCGCGUGAGUGAUGAAGGUCUUCGGAUCGUAAAACUCUGUUAUUAGUGAAGAACAUAUGUGUAAGUAACUGUGCACAUCUUGACGGUACCUAAUCAGAAAGCCACGGCUAACUACGUG